rnacentral:other from 1 species
AGGUACCUGGAGUGCACGAUAACUCUUGCUAUUUAGAACCUACAUCUACUUUUCAUGGGAUUCUUAAAUUGCUUCAUUAAUGUCAUGCCCCCCUGGGCUGGCCAUGCCGACUUGUCGGAGCCGUCAGCCACCGUACGACAGGCUAGGGGACGGCAGAGGUGUAAGUUGCGGUUACCCACCUGGCUAUGCGCUAGGAGUCUAAAUCGCGAGAACCGGCACUUCCGGGAUUUUU